GACGAACGCUGGCGGGGUGCUUAACACAUGCAAGUCGAACGGUAAGGCCCUUCGGGGUACACGAGUGGCGAACGGGUGAGUAACACGUGGGUGAUCCGCCCUGCACUUCGGGAUAAGCCUGGGAAACUGGGUCUAAUACCGGAUAGGACUCCGGACUGCAUGGUCUGGGGUGGAAAGCUUUUGCGGUGUGGGAUGGGCCCGCGGCCUAUCAGCUUGUUGGUGGGGUGAUGGCCUACCAAGGCGACGACGGGUAGCCGGCCUGAGAGGGUGACCGGCCACACUGGGACUGAGAUACGGCCCAGACUCCUACGGGAGGCAGCAGUGGGGAAUAUUGCACAAUGGGCGCAAGCCUGAUGCAGCGACGCCGCGUGAGGGAUGACGGCCUUCGGGUUGUAAACCUCUUUCAGCAUCGACGAAGCGAAAGUGACGGUAGGUGCAGAAGAAGGACCGGCCAACUACGUGCCAGCAGCCGCCGUAA
rnacentral:rRNA from 1 species